rnacentral:rRNA from 1 species
CGGUUAAAAAGCUCGUAGUUGGAUCUCGGCGGGCAGGGGGUGGUUCGCUCUUCAGCGCUACUGCCCCGCUUUGCCCGUGUGAUUGGCGGAGGUUUCGGGGUGCUCUUCGUUGAGUGACUCGGAGCGCCGUCAGGUUUACUUUGAAAAAAUUAGAGUGCUCAAAGCAGGCUUUUCACGCUUGAAUAUUCGUGCAUGGAAUAAUGGAAUAGGAACUCGUUUCUAUUUUGUUGGUUUUCGGAAAUCGAGUUAAUGAUUAACAGGGACAAUUGGGGGCAUUAGUAUUCAGACGACAGAGGUGAAAUUCUUGGACCGUCUGAAGACUGACUACUGCGAAAGCAUUUGCCAAGAGUGUUUUCAUUAAUCAAGAACGAAAGUUAGAGGUUCGAAGGCGAUUAGAUACCGCCCUAGUUCUAACCAUAAACGAUGCCAGCUAGCGAUCUGUCGACGUUUUUUUUGUAGACUCGACAGGAAGCUUCCGGGAAACCAAAGCAUUUGGGUUCCAGGGGAAGUAUGGUUGCAAAGCUGAAACUUAAAGGAAUUGACGGAAGGGCACACCAGGAGUGGAGCCUGUGGCUUAAUUUGACUCAACACGGGAAAUCUCACCAGGCCCCGGACACUGGA